AACGAACGCUGGCGGCAGGCUUAACGCAUGCAAGUCGAGCGCAUCCUUCGGGGUGAGCGGCGGACGGGUGAGUAACGCGUGGGAACGUGCCCUCUUCUACGGAAUAGCCUCGGGAAACUGAGAGUAAUGCCGUAUACGCCCGCAAGGGGAAAGAUUUAUCGGAGGAGGAUCGGCCCGCGUUGGAUUAGGUAGUUGGUGGGGUAACGGCCUACCAAGCCGACGAUCCAUAGCUGGUUUGAGAGGAUGAUCAGCCACACUGGGACUGAGACACGGCCCAGACUCCUACGGGAGGCAGCAGUGGGGAAUCUUGGACAAUGGGGGCAACCCUGAUCCAGCCAUGCCGCGUGAUCGAUGAAGGCCUUAGGGUUGUAAAGAUCUUUCAGCUGGGAAGAUAAUGACGGUACCAGCAGAAGAAGCCCCGGCUAACUCCGUG
rnacentral:rRNA from 1 species